GCAUCUAUUUUCCAUCUUACUCCUCUAUUCUUCAGUGUACGGUUCUUUCUAGAGAUGCUAUGGUGAGCUCAAUCGUUUCCAUUUCACCUGAUCUUCUUCCUUCAUGGUGAUCGGAAUUAAUUUAUUUUAGUGUUCAAUUCAUAUUUUUGUCAUCUUUCUAUGAGUUUUCUUUGUUUCUGAAGGCAUUCACUCCUCUUCCCAAAAGGUUAGUCUUUCUUCUAUUUCUCUACCUGGGUGUCUAUAUAUUUCUUUUUUGCUUUUGUUUCUUAAGAGUUAACAUUGAAUUCCUUUCAUGUAUAUUUUCUCUUUUCUUUUCUUUUAGUAAAUGUUGAAUCAAUCUCAUUUGCUAUAUUUGGUUGUAGUAUCUAGGUAUUUUUAUUUCUAUAAACCUCGCAAGAGAAUUUGCUAGCCGUUGGCAAAACAGAUUCACCUUUCUUAGGAUUUUGGAUAUGGAAACUGAGUUUUCCGUUUUGGGUAUCAUCAAAAUCCAGCAAAGCUCAGAAGAAUUUUGCAUUGCAGGGUUCAAGUAAAAUUCUUACACUGAAAUUUCUCACGGGGUA
rnacentral:lncRNA from 1 species